AACGCUAGCUACAGGCUUAACACAUGCAAGUCGAGGGGAAACGAUAUUGGAAGCUUGCUUCCGAUAGGCGUCGACCGGCGCACGGGUGAGUAACGCGUAUCCAACCUGCCCACCACUUGGGGAUAACCUUGCGAAAGUAAGACUAAUACCCAAUGAUAUCUCUAGAAGACAUCUGAAAGAGAUUAAAGAUUUAUCGGUGAUGGAUGGGGAUGCGUCUGAUUAGCUUGUUGGCGGGGUAAUGGCCCACCAAGGCAACGAUCAGUAGGGGUUCUGAGAGGAAGGUCCCCCACAUUGGAACUGAGACACGGUCCAAACUCCUACGGGAGGCAGCAGUGAGGAAUAUUGGUCAAUGGACGAGAGUCUGAACCAGCCAAGUAGCGUGCAGGAUGACGGCCCUAUGGGUUGUAAACUGCUUUUAUAAGGGAAUAAAGUGAGUCUCGUGAGACUUUUUGCAUGUACCUUAUGAAUAAGGACCGGCUAAUUCCGUGCCAGCAGCCGCGGUAAUACGGAAGGUCCGGGCGUUAUCCGGAUUUAUUGGGUUUAAAGGGAGCGUAGGCCGGAGAUUAAGCGUGUUGUGAAAUGUAGACGCUCAACGUCUGCACUGCAGCGCGAACUGGUUUCCUUGAGUACGCACAAAGUGGGCGGAAUUCGUGGUGUAGCGGUGAAAUGCUUAGAUAUCACGAAGAACUCCGAUUG
rnacentral:rRNA from 1 species